rnacentral:tRNA from 3 species
GGUGCAUUCGUCUAGUGGUCCAGGACGCCGCCCUCUCACGGCGGAAACUCGGGUUCGACCCCCGGACGCACUA